UGUUCCCGUACCGCGCCCAUGCCGACGACCCGGCACAGCGCCGGCGACCACCACGCCUCAGCAGCUCCGGCGAACCUCGCUCACCACAGUGAGCGCGACCUUAUCCCUCCACCGGCACCCUAUUCUCUCCCGAGCGCCCUCUCUUCUCCUUCCCCUCUUUUUUCUUCUUCCUCGAGCAGAGCCGACCGAGCUCGAGCAGCUGCACCUGCAGGCCGCAUGUGCCCACCACCGGCCACCAUCCUCAAAUCGCCACCACUCGCGCCUUCCUAGCCUCUCCAGCUCCACCAUCCCCUCUCCUUGUCCAACCCCAUGGCUCCUAGAGCUGUGGAGUUAAGUUUCCCCGUCCGCCGUGCCCACCAAAACAGCCACUGUCGCCGGCCGCUACCCUUCAAUCCCUUGCGUCCAUGGCACCACCAUCUUCCCGGAUUGCCUUUUGGCUCGUCCGCUGGGCACCGGCCACCGAUUCAGCCGGGUUUCGACAUCUCGCGGCCGCUGGGCACCUCAUGGCAGCUGCCAGUCACCUUGCCGAUGAACUCCAUCUUCCCGACCACCAUGGGUACCGCUACCUCUACCUGUGUGUCUGGCACUCCGGUCGCCGCAGCACCAGAUGUUGGUGGCUACUCCCUGUGCUGGUGCUCCUCUCCAGCAUUGCAAUCCAUACGCAGUCAGCAGCAGCAGAUCUAUUCCAUUCCGCUCUCUCUGUUCUUGCGACUAGUGGAAGGAGAAGAACAAUACAAGCUAGCUAACUAGUGAUGCAUAUUAGAACUUGUAUGUUUCAGGUCUAGAGAAAUUCAUAUCUGUAGUGGUACUGCCCCGAGUGCUGUGAAAUUUUUAUGGUGGACUCUGCAUGUGAUGCUUUAUCUGUGGUACACUAGGUGAAUACACGUGGAACUCGAGCGUGAUAUGGAGCUAGCCAAAAGAUGGUGGAUGGUGUACCCAUCUAGAAGAUGGAUGGAUGGAUCCUGAUGUGCAUGACCAAAGGAAGUUGCUCACCAAGCGAGUAUCAUCUAACCAACACUGACUUAGUGUUACUUCCAGACAAGUUCUGGAGCAUAACCCUUAAUUUCAGUAUUUAAUGUUUAUUUAAGUAUUUGUGCAUUUAGGUUUCUAGGAGUUGUAUAGAAUCCUAGUAUGCAUAUUUUUCUCUAGGUACCUAUGAGUAUCUACUGGUAUGUGUAGAUCGUUAAUAUUGCCAUGCUUAAUUAGAAUUCGGUAAAAGUCGAGUGAUUCCUGUCACUCGCGAGAUAUAGGACCUUGUUACAAUGAGGAAAGAGAAAUGGAGACCAGGCGGAGAUGAGUUUGAUUAUGGAUAUGAAAUGGAUGGAAAGUAAACCUCCGCCUGUAUCGAUUGAGGACCAUACCGUUGUUGGCAUUGUUGAUCGAGGAUUGAACAGUACUAACCACGUGCCGGAACUGAAAGUAGGAGGUAGUCGAAAUCGAUAAGCUCAUUACCUGAUUUGUAACGAUACUUUGAAUCGCGACCUACUACUCUGAGAGUGGGAUGAUGGCGGGUGUCGGAUGUCGCCUUCGGAUUCUUUGGGAGUUCGCCGUGUGGGGCUCUUCACCCGAGUUUUAGCAGGCGUGGUUCAGACGUCGGGGUGAUGAUGGGAACUGUUGAUAUGUGUGGUCCAGUGUGGCUGCACGUGUUGUGUGUGUUAGGUCCACCUUACAAAGUUAAAUUGGAUCGAUUCGCCGUGACUUGCGGAUAUGAGAAUCUUGGUUACUGUGUCACAUCGUAGUAAAGAAGUGGAAUGAGAAUGAAAAUGUGAUGAGAUAUGUUUGUGCUACUCUUGGAAAAUUAAUGUGAUAUACCAUGCUUGCUCUAGAUAUCGAAGCAAACCUUGUUGGUACCGGUUACAUUAAACUUGAGUUAAAAUAUUGAAAGUAAGGAGCCACUUUUAGUAGUUUUUUAGCAAAAUAAACUCUAGAGCCAAAAGUCUUGCAUACUAGGAGUCGGCUAAGUAUAUAUCACUAAUCGGGUAAGUCUUGCUGUGUAUUAGUAUACUCAGGGUUGCUGCUGGUUGAAGCUAAUAAAGAUUCACCUCGAUGGGCUCGAUGUGACGUCCUCAUGUCUUCGUAGUUAUCGUUGUUUUUAAAUUAAACUUUUAUUUAAAUUCCGCUGCAUGUUGAAGUCUGAUAUUUUACUUAAACUUAAUUAGUAAAGCUUUGCGUUGUAAAUUUAAAUUUGAGAACUUAUGUCUGCUUGUAAUCAUCUGUGCUCAUCUU